CCUACGGGAGACAGCAGUCGAGAAUCAUUCACAAUGGGGGAAACCCUGAUGGUGCGACGCCGCGUGGGGGAAUGAAGGUCUUCGGAUUGUAAACCCCUGUCAUGUGGGAGCAAAUUAAAAAGAUAGUACCACACGAGGAAGAGACGGCUAACUCUGUGCCAGCAGCCGCGGUAAUACAGAGGUCUCAAGCGUUGUUCGGAAUCACUGGGCGUAAAGCGUGCGUAGGCUGUUUCGUAAGUCGUGUGUGAAAGGCGCGGGCUCAACCCGCGGACGGCACAUGAUACUGCGAGACUAGAGUAAUGGAGGGGGAACCGGAAUUCUCGGUGUAGCAGUGAAAUGCGUAGAUAUCGAGAGGAACACUCGUGGCGAAGGCGGGUUCCUGGACAUUAACUGACGCUGAGGCACGAAGGCCAGGGGAGCGAAAGGGAUUAGAUACCCUUGUAGUC
rnacentral:rRNA from 1 species